UACGAAGGGGGCUAGCGUUGCUCGGAAUCACUGGGCGUAAAGGGCGCGUAGGUGGUGGCUUAAGCGUGCGGUGAAAGCUCGGGGCUCAACUCCGAGUCGGCCGUGCGAACUGGGCUCACUGGAGCAUAGUAGAGGCAGGUGGAAUUCCGGGUGUAGCGGUGGAAUGCGUAGAGAUCCGGAAGAACACCGGGUGGCGAAGGCGGGUCUGCUGGG
rnacentral:rRNA from 1 species